rnacentral:lncRNA from 1 species
CUUCUCUACCUUCCUGGUCCCACACCAAAAUGGAUUUUAAAAGAUGCAUUAAUCAAGUGAAGAAAGUAAAAGAGAAUGGAAGAUGAAGCAAAGAGAAAGAACAAUCGCCUGCAUGCGUGGACCCUUUUAUGGAAGCAAAAACCAGAGUGGUUUGUUCUGUGAAUAACAACAGAAAUCCUAAGGUAAUGAAUUCAUGAAUUAUCUACUACACUUG